GGGGGCUAGCGUUGCUCGGAAUUACUGGGCGUAAAGGGAGCGUAGGCGGACAGUUAAGUCAGUGGUGAAAGCCCAGGGCUCAACCCUGGAAUUGCCUUUGAUACUGAUUGUCUUGAGUAUGGGAGAGGUAUGCGGAACUCCGAGUGUAGAGGUGAAAUUCGUAGAUAUUCGGAAGAACACCAGUGGCGAAGGCGGCAUACUGGCCCAUUACUGACGCUGAGGCUCGAAAGCGUGGGGAGCAAACAGG
rnacentral:rRNA from 1 species